rnacentral:rRNA from 1 species
GGGGAAUAUUGGACAAUGGGGGAAACCCUGAUCCAGCCAUGCCGCGUGUGUGAAGAAGGCCUUCGGGUUGUAAAGCACUUUAAUUUGGGAGGAAGGGCUUACGGUUAAUAACCGCUAAGUUUUGACGUUACCAAAAGAAUAAGCACCGGCUAACUUCGUGCCAGCAGCCGCGGUAAUACGAAGGGUGCGAGCGUUAAUCGGAAUUACUGGGCGUAAAGCGCGCGUAGGUGGUUCAUUAAGUUAGGAGUGAAAGCCCCGGGCUCAACCUGGGAAUUGCUUCUAAAACUGGUGAGCUAGAGUACGGUAGAGGGUGGUGGAAUUUCCUGUGUAGCGGUGAAAUGCGUAGAUAUAGGAAGGAACAUCAGUGGCGAAGGCGACCACCUGGACUGAUACUGACACUGAGGUGCGAAAGCGUGGGGAGCAAACA